GAUGAACGCUGGCGGCGUGCCUAAUACAUGCAAGUCGAACGAAACUUCUUUAUCACCGAGUGCUUGCACUCACCGAUAAAGAGUUGAGUGGCGAACGGGUGAGUAACACGUGGGCAACCUGCCCAAAAGAGGGGGAUAACACUUGGAAACAGGUGCUAAUACCGCAUAACCAUAGUUACCGCAUGGUAACUAUGUAAAAGGUGGCUAUACUACCGCUUUUGGAUGGGCCCGCGGCGCAUUAGCUAGUUGGUAGGGUAAAGGCUUACCAAGGCAAUGAUGCGUAGCCGAAUUGAGAGGUUGAUCGGCCGCAUUGGGACUGAGACACGGCCCAAACUCCUACGGGAGGCAGCAGUAGGGAAUCUUCCACAAAGGGCGAAAGCCUGAUGGAGCAACGCCGCGUGGGUGAAGAAGGUCUUCGGAUCGUAAAACCCUGUUGUUAGAGAAGAAAGUGCGUGAGAGUAACUGUUCACGUUUCGACGGUAUCUAACCAGAAAGCCACGGCUAACUACGUG
rnacentral:rRNA from 1 species